rnacentral:rRNA from 1 species
UACGUAGGGUGCGAGCGUUGUCCGGAUUUAUUGGGCGUAAAGGGCUCGUAGGCGGCGUGUCGCGUCUGCUGUGAAAACCCGAGGCUCAACCUCGGGCCUGCAGUGGGUACGGGCAGACUAGAGUGCGGUAGGGGAGAUUGGAAUUCCUGGUGUAGCGGUGGAAUGCGCAGAUAUCAGGAGGAACACCAAUGGCGAAGGCAGAUCUCUGGGCCGUAACUGACGCUGAGGAGCGAAAGCAUGGGGAGCGAACAGG